rnacentral:rRNA from 1 species
GUGGGGAAUCUUCCGCAAUGGACGAAAGUCUGACGGAGCGACGCCGCGUGAGUGAUGAAGGCCUUCGGGUCGUAAAGCUCUGUCGUCGGGGACGAACGGCCGCCUCAGGGAAUGGGGGCGGAGUGACGGUACCCGAGAAGGAAGCCACGGCUAACUACGUGCCAGCAGCCGCGGUAAUACGUAGGUGGCAAGCGUUGUCCGGAAUUAUUGGGCGUAAAGCGCGCGCAGGUGGGAUUUUAAGUCCAUUUUGAAAGUUCGGAGCUUAACUCCGUGAUGGGAUGGAAACUGGGAUUCUUGAGUACCGGAGAGGAAAGCGGAAUUCCCCGUGUAGCGGUGAAAUGCGUAGAUAUGGGGAGGAACACCAGUGGCGAAGGCGGCUUUCUGGACGGUGUCUGACACUGAGGCGCGAAAGCCAGGGGAGCGAACGGGAUUAGAUACCCUAGUAGUCC